GUCCAUGCCGUAAACGUUGGGCACUAGGUGUGGGGACAUUCCACGUUUUCCGCGCCGUAGCUAACGCAUUAAGUGCCCCGCCUGGGGAGUACGGCCGCAAGGCUAAAACUCAAAGGAAUUGACGGGGCCCGCACAAGCGGCGGAGCAUGCGGAUUAAUUCGAUGCAACGCGAAGAACCUUACCAAGGCUUGACAUACACCGGAUCGUUCCAGAGAUGGUUCUUCCCUUUUGGGCUGGUGUACAGGUGGUGCAUGGUUGUCGU
rnacentral:rRNA from 1 species